UACAUAUAUACAUACAUAUAUAUAUUUACAUAUAAAUAUAUAUGUAUAUAUAUAUAUAUGUAUGUACAUACAUACAUACAUAUAUUUACAUAUAAAUAUAUGUGUAUAUAUAUAUAUAUAUAUAUAUAUAUAUAUAUACAUACAUACAUAUAUUUACAUAUAAAUAUAUGUGUAUAUGUAUGUAUGUAUGAAUAUAUAUAUACAUAUGGAAAACUCUAGAAAGGCUAAUUAGUACCCUAAUUUCAGCAUUGAGUGAUAUACAAAUGCCAGAACUGGGCGCCAUUGUGUUUUGCCAAAAGUACAAUCCACUCUAUUUAAAUUCUAGGCUUGAAAGCUUCAAAGGGCCACAGCUCUUCAAUGCCCUGCAAGAAAUUGUUUAGAAAUCUGCAUAAGGUGGAAGUAGAUGUCUUCGAAAAGGAACCAGACAUCUUCCUCUCCACAAUACUGGAUGAACCAACAGACGAGGGCAGUAGAAUAAAACUCUCUUAGAACAAAUGGGCCAACAGCCGGCACAAAGACACAUACAGGAGUGGCAUAUAUGAAUACAAGUGUGUAUAUAUAUAUAUAUAUAUAUAUAUAUAUAUAUAUAUAUGUACACACAUAUAUGUACGUUUAUAUACCUAUACAUACACAUACGUGAAAUUAUAUAUAUAUAUAUAUAUAUAUAUUUGUAAAAAAUGAAGUUUGAAAAUGCUGCUAUAUUAGACAAAUUUUAAUUUAACAUGUUUCGGUUCUUGAAAUGACGAACCUUAUAAAAAAAAACAAAAAAAAAUUAUAUAUAAUAAAGAGAGUCCUUGCUAUAUGCUUAAAGAGUAUGAUGUAAUAGUUCAUAAUUGUGACAUAUAUUCAAUAGAGUCAAAUAUAAAAAAUUCAUAUAUAAUAAAGAGAGUCCAUGCUAUAUGUUUAAAGAGUAUUAUGUAGUAGUUCAUAAUUGUGACAUACAUUCAAUAGAGUCAAAUAUAAAAAAUUCAUGUUCUUGAAAAGGCGAGGAGUUCAUUUUUAGAUUUUACCUUGUGUUCCAAUGGGAGCAACAGUAAUCAUUUUUGGUCGGUGUCUGCUCGCAUAAUUUUGGUGAAUUUUGUGAUUGUUGGAUUUAUAUCACCUCAGCUAAGCUGUGGUCACUUGCACUUUUCACUGACGUCAUAUAGUUCCAAACCAAUCAAAACCCAGUCUCAACGAAUAUAGUGAAAAGACUCCUAACUGUAUCCUGUUAGGAAACCAACCAAGCGGAACGACAGUUUGGCCACGGGAGAAAUACGUCAUCAUUUUUUUGACGAAUCGAAAUUAGAUCUGACCCAUGACUGUAUCCUGUUAGGUAGCUAGUCCAGCAGAACGAGACGUCAUCAAUGUUUUGACCAAUCAGAAUCGGGUCUGACCCAUAGCUGUAUCGUGUGGGGAAACCGACCAAGCAGGGUGACAAUAGCUUGACCUUUGACGAAUCAGGAUUAGAUCUGCUCGUAGAGAAAGAGAUCUUUUUAUAAACUUUUCCUUCCCUAAGACAUAUCACUGUCAGCGUGAGUGACUGUUUAAGGAUCUGAGAAAUUGUAAUUCGCCCCACCUCCAUUAUUAUAAUUCUCUCACUGUGGCCGUAGCAACAGUGACCACGGUGGUUGUAGUAGUAGUGCGAGUUGGGGCAGUCGUAGUGGUUGUGGUAGAAUUUCGUUUCUCUUUUUCGGAGGACCAAUGUUUUGUUUUAAUAUUCCUGGCCCAGGGUGUUCAUACUUGGUCUAAAUUUUUUGAUGAAAUAAAGUUCUUUAUUUUGGCGUUGCGUGAAGGUUACGCUGUCACUGAAUUUAUAAAGUGGGUAAGUUGUAAAUUUCGGAUUUACAUUUGCAGCACAUCUAUCUAUGUGUCCGCUGACCGGUAUUUUCCGGUAUUCAGGGUUUCUAAUUUGUGAUUUAUGCACCGCCAUCCUGUUACGUAAGCUAUUUUGUGUAUGGCCUAUAUACUGCCUAUAUACUGCGCAUGUUAAGACGUAAAUUAAGUUUUCUGAUGCGCAAGUGAAGUUUGCUCUAAUGGCCUUGUUCUAGUAUAAAUUCUGAACCUUCUACCAAGAUGACACAGAUUCCGCAGUUGGGCCUUCCACAUUUUCUAACUGCUGGUUUUGUGGUUGAUGUUGAGUGCAGUUUAGCUUGGGUUAAAAUCCUUUUCAAGGAUUUUGGUUGCCGUUUACUUUUAAUGAUGGUGUGUGUUUCGAGGAUCCGGUUCAUCUUUGGGUCUCCCUUUAGCAGGGCUGUGCUUUGUAGUAUGGUGCUGAAGGCCUCAUUGUUGAGUGGGUUGUGUGUAGAGAUGUAGGGAAGUGUUUUUAAUUGUUCUUUCUUUUUUGGUUUUGUUUGUCUCAGGUCUUCUAUACUUAAUUUGAGUGCCCUUUGGAUUGCACCGUCUAUUAGGGGCUGUGGAUAGUUUCUAUUUGUGAGUGUGUUUCUAAGUUCCUGGAGACGAAUAUAUAUAUAUUCUUUUAUUCUUUUACUUGUUUCAGUCAUUUGACUGUGGCCAUGCUGGAGCAUCGCGUUUAGUCGAAUAAAUCGACCCCAGGACUUAUUCUCUGUAAGCCUAGUACUAAUUUUAUCAGUUUCUUAUGCCAAACCGCUAGGUUACGGGAACGUAAACACUCCAACAUCGGUUGUCAAGCGAUGGUAGGGAGACAAACACAGAUGCACAGACAUAUACAUAUAAAUAUAUAUAUACGACAGGCUUCUUUCAGUUUCCGACUACCAUAUCCACUCAUUGGUCGGCCCAAGGAUACAGUAGAAGACGCUUGCCCAAGGUGCCACACAGUUGAACUGAACCUGGAACCAUGUGGUUGGGAGGCAAACUUCUUACCACACAGCCACGCCUGCUCCUAUAUAUAUAUAUAUAUAUAUAUAUAUAUAUAUAUAUAUAUAUAUAUAUAUAUAUAUAUAUAUAUAUAUAUAUAUAUAUAUAUAUAUAUAUUGGCCUGCUCGCUUAGCCAGCGGGGUGGCGACAUUUGAAGGCUAAGACAAUGCGAAGUCCAUUGUGACCAGCGAUGUGUUAGAACAUCUGAUAACCUGGUCGGUCACGGUGAUAUAUAUAUAUAUAUAAAAUAAUAUGUUACAUUACUCGAUAGUCAAGAUAAAACUCUGAGUUUCAGAUGCCGAAGUGCGAAUCAGCCAGAAAACCGAAGAGAUGGCAUUGUGGAUUCCCACUUCGGCAUCUGAAACUCAGAGUUUUAUCUUGACUAUCGAGUAAUGUAACAUAUUAUUUUAUAGAUAAAUUUCCUCUAUUUACAUAAUAUUGAGGUCUCUUUCUUCCUUUUGUUAUCUUACCGUUUUACCUAUAUAUAUAUAUAUAUAUAUAUAUAUAUAUAUAUAUAUAUAUAUAUAUAUAUAUCAGGUCAUCACAUAAGUUCUGUUCGAAUUUUGAAUAAAGAAAACAAGUGGUCAAAUGUUAUAUUCAAUUGAAAUUUAAUCAUCAAUGUACUUUCCCUGAAUAUCGAUGACUUCCUUCCAUAUAUUUACAAGCUUUUUAAUCCCGUCAAUGUAAAACUCUUUUGGUUUCAAAACGAAGAACUCUGAAAUGUCAGUUUCGACCUCCUCCUGGCUUGCGAAAUGUAUGCCCCCAAAUGAUUCUGUAAACUACGAAACAAAUAUUAGUCUGAAGGAGCAAGGUCAGGAGAAAAAGGCUCUUCGAUGUUCUGUGAUGUGAUCUUUGCAGUGUGGGGUCGCGCAUUGUCCUAAUGAAACAUCACUCCUUUUCGAUUCACGAAAGCGGGUCUUUUUUUCUUCAAGGCUUGGUUCAAGCGCUGUAAUUGCUUACAGUAGACUUGAGCAUUGAUUGUUGCAUUAGGUGGUAACAAUUCAAGGUGAAUUACUCCUUUGCAACCCCACCAGAUAGAGAGAAGAACCUUUUUCCCAUGAAGUUCCCUUCUCGGUUGUGGUUAAGCCUUUUCCCUUUCAACAAGCCACUGUUUACGACGUUUAACAUUUCGAUAAAAGAUCCAUUUUCCAUCACCAGUCUAUUCAAAACGGGUGAAAUGAGUUCGCGAGAAUGGAAAGAAGAGCAGAUGUCAACUCGGGAUUUGCGGUUACUUUCGGACAAUACAUGAGGCACUUAUUUUCCAAGUUUAGGAACAUUUCCAAGUUGUUGAAGAUGACGAUGGUUUGAACUAAAGAAUACCUCAAGAGGCUUAUCAUCAAACUCAACUGGAGGUCCUGUUCGAUCUUCACCUUCAAGGCUGAAAUCUCCACUUCUGAAUUUUGCAAACCAUCUUCUACAAGUUCUUUCAUUCAAGCAUUCUUUCCCAUAAACUGAGCGCAUGUUUCGAGUUGCUUCGGCUGCAGAGUUUCCUUUUUGUACUUAUAAAGCAUUAUGUGCCUCAAAUGCUCUUUGGUUACUUCCAUGUUAGAAAGGGUUUUAAUCAAAGAAAUUUUAAUUCUGUUAUUCUCUAAAAUAAUAUUUAAUUAGUCUAAAUGUACACAAAUGCAUAGGAAUACUUUUUAAUCCCACCAGGCAUUCUAAAAUACUAUUAAAUUUCAUUCAAUUUAAAAAUAGGUAAAAUCGGACAGAACUUAUGGGAUGACCUAUAACAUAUAUAUAUAUGUAUAUAUAUAUAUAUAUAUAUAUACAUUUAUAUAUACAUGCAUACAUACAUACAUACAUGCAUACAUAUAUAUACUGAAAAAGAGAGAGAUACAAAUACACGUAUAUAUAUGCACAGACAUAUAUAUAUAUAUAUAUAUAUAUAUAUAUAUAUAUAUAUACAUUUAUAUAUACAUGCAUACAUACAUACAUACAUACAUGCAUGCAUAUAUAUACUGAAAAAGAGAGAGAUACAAAUACACGUAUAUAUAUGCAUAGACAUACACACUCUCAUAUAGAUAGAAAUACAUACAUAAAUCUAUGCACACGCAUCCCCUCUCCAAACACACACACCUAUAUAUAUAUAUAUAUAUAUAUAUAUAUAUAUAUAUAUAUAUAUAUAUAAUCAAAAUAAGCAGCAAGAAUGACUCCGGUAAUUUGGUACAAUAGUUUCGCACUAA
rnacentral:lncRNA from 1 species